GACGAACGCUGGCGGCGUGCCUAAUACAUGCAAGUCGAGCGGAACUGGGGGAGCUUGCUCCUUCCAGUUUAGCGGCGGACGGGUGAGUAACACGUGGGCAACCUGCCCUGCAGAUCGGGAUAACUCCGGGAAACCGGUGCUAAUACCGAAUAGUUUGGCGCCUCUCCUGAGGCGCUACGGAAAGACGGUUUCGGCUGUCACUGCAGGAUGGGCCCGCGGCGCAUUAGCUAGUUGGUGGGGUAACGGCCCACCAAGGCGACGAUGCGUAGCCGACCUGAGAGGGUGACCGGCCAAACUGGGGCUGAGACACGGCCCAGACUCCUACGGGAGGCAGCAGUAGGGAAUCUUCCGCAAUGGACGCAAGUCUGACGGAGCAACGCCGCGUGAGUGACGAAGGUUUUCGGAUCGUAAAACUCUGUUGUGAGGGAAGAACACGUACCAACUAACUAUUGGUACCUUGACGGUACCUCGCCAGAAAGCCACGGCUAACUACGUGCCAGCCGCCGCGGUAA
rnacentral:rRNA from 1 species